AGAGUUUGAUCAUGGCUCAGGAUGAACGCUAGCGGCAGGCUUAAUACAUGCAAGUCGAGGGGCAGCACGAAUAGUAAUAUUUGGUGGCGACCGGCAAACGGGUGCGGAACACGUACGCAACCUUCCCAUAACUGGUGAAUAGCCUUCCGAAAGGGAGAUUAAUACACCGUAACAUAAAGAGUAGGCAUCUAUUUUUUAUUAUAGCUUCGGCGGUUUUGGAUGGGCGUGCGCCUGAUUAGGUAGUUGGCGGGGUAACGGCCCACCAAGCCUUCGAUCAGUAACUGGUGUGAGAGCACGACCAGUCACACGGGCACUGAGACACGGGCCCGACUCCUACGGGAGGCAGCAGUAAGGAAUAUUGGUCAAUGGACGCAAGUCUGAACCAGCCAUGCCGCGUGAAGGAUGAAGGCCCUCUGGGUUGUAAACUUCUUUUAUCUGGGACGAAAAAAGGGGAUUCUUCCUCACUUGACGGUACCAGAGGAAUAAGCACCGGCUAACUCCGUGCCAGCAGCCGCGGUAAUACGGAGGGUGCAAGCGUUAUCCGGAUUUACUGGGUUUAAAGGGUGCGUAGGUGGGUAAGUAAGUCAGUGGUGAAAUCUUCGAGCUUAACUCGGAAACUGCCAUUGAUACUAUUUAUCUUGAAUACUUUGGAGGUAAGCGGAAUAUGUCAUGUAGCGGUGAAAUGCUUAGAUAUGACAUGGAACACCAAUUGCGAAGGCAGCUUACUACACAGUUAUUGACACUGAGGCACGAAAGCGUGGGGAUCAAACAGGAUUAGAUACCCUAGUAGUCC
rnacentral:rRNA from 1 species